AUUGAACGCUGGCGGAAUGCUUUACACAUGCAAGUCGAACGGCAGCACGGACUUCGGUCUGGUGGCGAGUGGCGAACGGGUGAGUAAUACAUCGGAACGUGCCCAGUCGUGGGGGAUAACGUAGCGAAAGCUACGCUAAUACCGCAUACGAUCUACGGAUGAAAGCGGGGGAUCGCAAGACCUCGCACGAUUGGAGCGGCCGAUGGCAGAUUAGGUAGUUGGUAGGGUAAAGGCCUACCAAGCCGACGAUCUGUAGCUGGUCUGAGAGGAUGAUCGGCCACACUGGGACUGAGACACGGCCCAGACUCCUACGGGAGGCAGCAGUGGGGAAUUUUGGACAAUGGGCGCAAGCCUGAUCCAGCCAUUCCGCGUGCAGGAUGAAGGCCUUCGGGUUGUAAACUGCUUUUGUACAGAACGAAAAGGCUCUGGUUAAUACCUGGGGCUCAUGACGGUACUGUAAGAAUAAGCACCGGCUAACUACGUGCCAGCCGCCGCCGUAA
rnacentral:rRNA from 1 species